rnacentral:lncRNA from 1 species
CUUGAAUGUGCUUACGCAUCACCUGGGGGAGCUUGUUAAGAUGCAGUUUCUGAUCCAGCAUCUGAGAGCCUCAUUUCUAACCUGCUCGCAGGUUUAGGGCCAUGUGAAGAGUGAGGCCUCAGUUUCAGGCAGUCUUUCCGCGGAGCUCCCAGCAGAGUGAGCUUCAACUCACAGCUCCAGCGGCAUGGAGAGGAGGCCUGGCACUGAGCUCUCCAGCUUGAGAUGUGCUUGUAGGAGUCUCAUGAAAUGAGGGACGUUGCCUGCCCGAGUCUCUGGGACCAGCGCCUGGCAUGAGGUAGGAACGAUAUCCUGUAAUCCUCGUUCGUAUUAAUACAGCGUAUUAAUCACACAGCGCGUCUCUAAGCACCUGAGCCAA